CAGUGGGGAAUAUUGCACAAUGGGCGAAANCNUGAUGCAGCAACGCCGCGUGAACGAUGAAGGUNUUCGGAUCGUAAAGUUCUGUUGCAGGGGAAGAUAAUGACGGUACCCUGUGGGGAAGCCCCCGGGUAAAUUUCUGCCCGCCGGGCCGCCGNGNUAAUACGUAGGGGGCUAGCGUUAUCCGGAUUUACUGGGCGUAAAGGGUGCGUAGGUGGUCCUUCAAGUCGGUGGUUAAAGGCUACGGCUCAACCGUAGUAAGCCGCCGAAACUGGAGGACUUGAGUGCAGGAGAGGAAAGUGGAAUUCCCAGUGUAGCGGUGAAAUGCGUAGAUAUUGGGAGGAACACCAGUAGCGAAGGCGGCUUUCUGGACUGCAACUGACACUGAGGCACGAAAGCGUGGGUAGCAAACAGGAUUAGAUACCCUGGUAGUCCACGCUGUAAACGAUGAGUACUAGGUGUCGGGGGUUACCCCCCUCGGUGCCGCAGCUAACGCAUUAAGUACUCCGCCUGGGGAGUACGCACGCAAGUGUG
rnacentral:rRNA from 1 species